rnacentral:rRNA from 1 species
AUUACGGGUAGCUUAAAAAUAAGCAUAGAUCCGUAGAUUCCCGAAUAUGUAAACUUUUAAAACUAUAUGCAAAAUUAAUAGGCAUAAAAGAGAUAACUUAGCGAACUGAAACAUCUUAGUAGCUGAAGGAAAAGAAAGCAAUAAGCGAUUUCCUAAGUAGUGGUGAGCGAAAUGGAAGUAGCCUAAACCGUAUAAGGGGUUGUGGGGGAGCAACUAAAAAAGUAAUCAUGUUUUUAUUAAAUAUUUAAGCGAAGCAGCGGAGUACUGUACCAUAGAUGGUGAGAGUCCAGUAGAAGAAUGCACAUUAGCUUAUGCUCUAACCCGAGUAGCAUGGUAUACGUUAAAAUACUGUGUGAAUCCGCAAGGACCACCUUGCAAGGCUGAAUACUCUUUGGGUUGACCAAUAGCAAAGUGAGUACCGUGAGGGAAAGGUGAAAAGAUCCCAUUGUGGGAGUGAAAUAGAGCAUGAAAUUGUAAGCUUUCAAACAGUGGGAGGAAUAUUAUUAUAUCUGACCGUGUGCCUUUUGAAGAAUGAGCCGACGACUCAUAUGCAGUGGCUUGGUUAAGGUAACAUAACCGUAUCCGUAGCAAAAGCGAGUUUUAAUAAAGAAGCAAACAAUUGUCAUUGUUUAUGUACCCGAACUUGGGUGAUCUAUCCAUGACCAGGAUGAAUCUAAGUUUAAAACUAAGUUGAGGUCCGAACCAACUGAUGUUGAAUAAUCAGUGGAUGAGUUGUGGUUAGGGGUGAAAUGCCAUUCGAACCCAAAGCUAGCUGGUUCUCCCCGAAAUGCGUUGAAGCGCAGCAGUUGAUCAUAUAUAUUAGGGGUAAAGCACUGUUUUGAUCUGGUACACAUCAGUUGGUUCCACAUCUAGGCAAACUCUGAAUACUAUAUACUAUAAUAUUCAUUAUAAUUAUUAGGAUCAACUAGUGAGACAGUGAGGGAUAAGCUUAAUUGUCAAAAGGGAAACAGCCCAGAUCACCAGAUAAGGCCCCUAAAUGAUCGCUAAGUGAUAAAGGAAGUGGGUAAAGUGCAUAGACAACCAGUAAGUUUGCCUAGAAGCAGCAACCUUUGAAAGAGUGCGUAAUAGCUCACCGAUCAAGCGCUCCUGCGCCGAAGAUGAAUAGGGACUAAGCGAUCUGCCGAAGCUGUGAGAUUAUUUUAACUUUAUGAUUUUAAAAUUAUUAAAAUCAUAAAGUUAAAAGUUAUCGGUAGGGGGGCGUUCCGCCUUAGAGAGAAAUAUCUUGCUUAAGCAGGUGUAGACGAAGCGGAAGCGAUAAUGUCGGCUUGAGUAACGAAAACAUUGGUGAGAAUCCAAUGCCCCGAAAACCUAAGGAUUCCUUUUCCACAAGGUUCGUCCGGGGAGGGUUAGUCAGGAACUAAGAUCAUGUCAAAAGGCGUAAUUGAUGGUUAACAGGUAAAGAUAUUCCUGUAUUAUAUUAUAUUUUUUCUUGAGGGACGGAGUAGGCUAGGUUAGCCAAAUAUUAUGGUUAUUGGUUCAAAGGGUAAGGCUAAACCAAUUAGGUAUUUGGUCAUAAGGGGUAGAGUAAAUAUCUCGAGCUAAUACCUUAAUAAUAAGUUCUUUAUUAUUCUUUUAAUUUUAAAGGCUUAAGUAAUCCACGUCAUACUCCCAGGAAAAGCUCUAACGAUCUUAAACAAUAAAUAAACCUGUACCCAAAACUAACACAGGUAGGUAGGUUGAGAAUACCUAGGGGCGCGAGAAAACUCUCUCUAAGGAACUAAGCAAAAUAGCCCUGUAACUUCGGGAUAAGGGGUGCCUCUUUUAUUGAAAUUGAAGAGGUCGCAGCUAUCAGGCCCGGGCGACUGUUUAACAAAAACACAGGUCUCCGCAAAGUCGUAAGACCAUGUAUGGGGGCUGACGCCUGCCCAGUGCCGGAAGGUUAAAGAAGUUAGUGAUCUUGAUUACAGAGUAGCUGGCAACCUAAGCCCCGGUGAACGGCGGCCGUAACUAUAACGGUCCUAAGGUAGCGAAAUUCCUUGUCGGGUAAGUUCCGACCCGCACGAAUGGCGUAACGAUCUGGGCGCUGUCUCGGAGAGAGACUCGGUGAAAUAGACCUGUCUGUGAAGAUGCGGACUACCCAUACCUGGACAGAAAGACCCUAUGAAGCUUUACUGUUCCCUAGGAUUGGUUUUGAGCUCUUCUUGUGCAGAUUAGGUGGAAGGUGCCAAAAUUUGAUUCUUACUAUAAGAAUCAAGGAUAGAGCCAUUAUUGAGAUACCACUCUAGAAGAGCUAUAUUUCUAACCUUGUGUCAUAAACUAGGGCUAAGGGACAGUCUCAGGUAGACAGUUUAUAUGGGGCGUAGGCCUCCCAAAAAGUAACGGAGGCGCGCAAAGGUUUCUUUGAAUCAGACGGAAAUUGAUUUUAUACGUGUAAAGGCAUAAAGAAGCUUGACUGCAAGACCCAAAACUUGUUAAGCAGGAACGAAAGUUGGCCUUAGUGAUCCGACGGUUCCGAGUGGUAGGGCCGUCGCUCAACGGAUAAAAGUUACUCUAGGGAUAACAGGCUGAUCUUCCCCAAGAGUUCACAUCGACGGGAAGGUUUGGCACCUCGAUGUCGGCUCGUCGCCACCUGGGGCUGUAGUAGGUUCCAAGGGUUGGGUUGUUCGCCCAUUAAAGCGGUACGUGAGCUGGGUUCAGAACGUCGUGAGACAGUUCGGUCCAUAUCCGGUAUGGGCGUAAGAGCAUUGAGAGGACUUUUCCCUAGUACGAGAGGACCGGGAAGGAUGCACCUCUGAUGUACCAGUUAUUGUGCCAUCGGUAAACGCUGGGUAGUCAAGUGCGGAGUGGAUAACUGCUGAAAGCAUAUAAGUAGGAAGCCCACCAUAGGAUGAUUGCUCUCUU